AAAUUGAAGAGUUUGAUCAUGGCUCAGAUUGAACGCUGGCGGCAGGCCUAACACAUGCAAGUCGAACGGUAACAGGAAGCAGCUUGCUGCUUUGCUGACGAGUGGCGGACGGGUGAGUAAUGUCUGGGAAACUGCCUGAUGGAGGGGGAUAACUACUGGAAACGGUGGCUAAUACCGCAUAACGUCGCAAGACCAAAGAGGGGGACCUUCGGGCCUCUUGCUAUCAGAUGUGCCCAGAUGGGAUUAGCUUGUUGGUGAGGUAACGGCUCACCAAGGCGACGAUCCCUAGCUGGUCUGAGAGGAUGACCAGCCACACUGGAACUGAGACACGGUCCAGACUCCUACGGGAGGCAGCAGUGGGGAAUAUUGCACAAUGGGCGCAAGCCUGAUGCAGCCAUGCCGCGUGUAUGAAGAAGGCCUUCGGGUUGUAAAGUACUUUCAGCGGGGAGGAAGGUGCUGUGGUUAAUAACC
rnacentral:rRNA from 1 species